UGUCGUCAGCUCGUGUCGUGAGAUGUUGGUUAAGUCCGUACGAGCGCAACCCUGUCCUUAGUUACCAGCACGUUAUGGUGGGCACUCUAAGGAGACUGCCGGGUGACAAACCGGAGGAAGGUGGGGAUGACGUCAAGUCAUCAUGGCCCUUACGGCCUGGGCUACACACGUGCUACAAUGGUCGGUACAAAGGGUUGCCAAGCCGCGAGGUGGAGCUAAUCCCAUAAAACCGAUCGUAGUCCGGAUCGCAGUCUGCAACUCGACUGCGUGAAGUCGGAAUCGCUAGUAAUCGUGAAUCAGAAUGUCACGGUGAAUACGUUCCCGGGCCUU
rnacentral:rRNA from 1 species